rnacentral:rRNA from 1 species
UACGAGGGGGGCAAGCGUUGUUCGGAAUUAUUGGGCGUAAAGGGUGCGUAGGCGGUUUGGUAAGUCUCUUGUGAAAUUUAUGGGCUCAACUCAUAAACUGCAAGGGAAACUGCCGGGCUUGAGUGUGGGAGAGGUGAGUGGAAUUCCUGGUGUAGCGGUGAAAUGCGUAGAUAUCAGGAGGAACACCUGUGGCGAAAGCGGCUCACUGGACCACAACUGACGCUGAUGCACGAAAGCUAGGGGAGCAAACAGG